rnacentral:tRNA from 1 species
GGAGAGGUCGCCUAGUCCGGCCGAGGGCGCGUGAUUGGAAAUCACGUAAUGGGAAACCAUUCGGGGGUUCGAAUCCCCCCCUCUCCGCCA